CGGCGAUGUCCGAAUGGGGAAACCCAGUGCAAUUCGUUGCACUAUCGUUAACUGAAUACAUAGGUUAACGAGGCGAACCGGGGGAACUGAAACAUCUAAGUACCCCGAGGAAAAGAAAUCAACCGAGAUUCCCCCAGUAGCGGCGAGCGAACGGGGAGCAGCCCAGAGUCUGAAUCAGCUUGUGUGUUAGUGGAACGGUCUGGAAAGUCCGACGGUACAGGGUGAUAGUCCCGUACACCAAAAUGCACAGGCUGUGAACUCGAAGAGUAGGGCGGGACACGUGGUAUCCUGUCUGAAUAUGGGGGGACCAUCCUCCAAGGCUAAAUACUCCUGACUGACCGAUAGUGAACCAGUACCGUGAGGGAAAGGCGAAAAGAACCCCGGCGAGGGGAGUGAAAAAGAACCUGAAACCGUGUACGUACAAGCAGUGGGAGCACCUUCGGGUGUGACUGCGUACCUUUUGUAUAAUGGGUCAGCGACUUAUAUUCUGUAGCAAGGUUAACCGUAUAGGGGAGCCGCAGGGAAACCGAGUCUUAACUGGGCGUUAAGUUGCAGGGUAUAGACCCGAAACCCGGUGAUCUAGCCAUGGGCAGGUUGAAGGUUGGGUAACACUAACUGGAGGACCGAACCGACUAAUGUUGAAAAAUUAGCGGAUGACUUGUGGCUGGGGGUGAAAGGCCAAUCAAACCGGGAGAUAGCUGGUUCUCCCCGAAAGCUAUUUAGGUAGCGCCUCGUGAAUUCAUCUUCGGGGGUAGAGCACUGUUUCGGCUAGGGGGUCAUCCCGACUUACCAACCCGAUGCAAACUACGAAUACCGAAGAAUGUUAUCACGGGAGACACACGGCGGGUGCUAACGUCCGUCGUGAAGAGGGAAACAACCCAGACCGCCAGCUAAGGUCCCAAAGUCAUGGUUAAGUGGGAAACGAUGUGGGAAGGCACAGACAGCCAGGAUGUUGGCUUAGAAGCAGCCAUCAUUUAAAGAAAGCGUAAUAGCUCACUGGUCGAGUCGGCCUGCGCGGAAGAUGUAACGGGGCUAAACCAUGCACCGAAGCUGCGGCAGCGACACUAUGUGUUGUUGGGUAGGGGAGCGUUCUGUAAGCCUGCGAAGGUGUGCUGUGAGGCAUGCUGGAGGUAUCAGAAGUGCGAAUGCUGACAUAAGUAACGAUAAAGCGGGUGAAAAGCCCGCUCGCCGGAAGACCAAGGGUUCCUGUCCAACGUUAAUCGGGGCAGGGUGAGUCGACCCCUAAGGCGAGGCCGAAAGGCGUAGUCGAUGGGAAACAGGUUAAUAUUCCUGUACUUGGUGUUACUGCGAAGGGGGGACGGAGAAGGCUAUGUUAGCCGGGCGACGGUUGUCCCGGUUUAAGCAUGUAGGCUGGUUGUCCAGGCAAAUCCGGAUAAUCAAGGCUGAGGUGUGAUGACGAGGCACUACGGUGCUGAAGUAACAAAUGCCCUGCUUCCAGGAAAAGCCUCUAAGCAUCAGGUAACAUCAAAUCGUACCCCAAACCGACACAGGUGGUCAGGUAGAGAAUACCAAGGCGCUUGAGAGAACUCGGGUGAAGGAACUAGGCAAAAUGGUGCCGUAACUUCGGGAGAAGGCACGCUGGUGUGUAGGUGAAGUCCCUGCGGAUGGAGCUGAGACCAGUCGAAGAUACCAGCUGGCUGCAACUGUUUAUUAAAAACACAGCACUGUGCAAACACGAAAGUGGACGUAUACGGUGUGACGCCUGCCCGGUGCCGGAAGGUUAAUUGAUGGGGUUAUCCGUAAGGAGAAGCUCUUGAUCGAAGCCCCGGUAAACGGCGGCCGUAACUAUAACGGUCCUAAGGUAGCGAAAUUCCUUGUCGGGUAAGUUCCGACCUGCACGAAUGGCGUAAUGAUGGCCAGGCUGUCUCCACCCGAGACUCAGUGAAAUUGAACUCGCUGUGAAGAUGCAGUGUACCCGCGGCAAGACGGAAAGACCCCGUGAACCUUUACUAUAGCUUGACACUGAACAUUGAGCCUUGAUGUGUAGGAUAGGUGGGAGGCUUUGAAGCGUGGACGCCAGUCUGCGUGGAGCCAACCUUGAAAUACCACCCUUUAAUGUUUGAUGUUCUAACGUUGGCCCCUGACCGGGGUUGCGGACAGUGUCUGGUGGGUAGUUUGACUGGGGCGGUCUCCUCCCAAAGCGUAACGGAGGAGCACGAAGGUUAGCUAAUCCUGGUCGGACAUCAGGAGGUUAGUGCAAUGGCAUAAGCUAGCUUGACUGCGAGCGUGACGGCGCGAGCAGGUGCGAAAGCAGGUCAUAGUGAUCCGGUGGUUCUGAAUGGAAGGGCCAUCGCUCAACGGAUAAAAGGUACUCCGGGGAUAACAGGCUGAUACCGCCCAAGAGUUCAUAUCGACGGCGGUGUUUGGCACCUCGAUGUCGGCUCAUCACAUCCUGGGGCUGAAGUAGGUCCCAAGGGUAUGGCUGUUCGCCAUUUAAAGUGGUACGCGAGCUGGGUUUAGAACGUCGUGAGACAGUUCGGUCCCUAUCUGCCGUGGGCGCUGGAGAAUUGAGGGGGGCUGCUCCUAGUACGAGAGGACCGGAGUGGACGCAUCACUGGUGUUCGGGUUGUCAUGCCAAUGGCACUGCCCGGUAGCUAAAUGCGGAAGAGAUAAGUGCUGAAAGCAUCUAAGCACGAAACUUGCCCCGAGAUGAGUUCUCCCUGAGACUUUAAGUCUCCUGAAGGAACGUUGAAGACGACGACGUUGAUAGGCCGGGUGUGUAAGCGCAGCGAUGCGUUGAGCUAACCGGUACUAAUGAACCGUGAGGCUUAACCUU
rnacentral:rRNA from 1 species